AAUUCGAUUACCGGAGAGGGGGCCUGAGAGAUGGCCACCACUUCUAAGGAAGGCAGCAGGCGCGAAAAUUACCCAAUGUUGGAACAGUGAGGUAGUGACGAGGAAUAGCGGAGAGAGAGCCGGAAAGGUUUUUUGUUUGCAAUGGAAGGAGGAUAGAGAGGUUCUUGAGGAACGAUCAGAGGGAAAGUCUGGUGCCAGCAGCCGCGGUAAUUCCAGCUCUGAAAGCGUAUACUAGAGUUGUUGCGGUUAAAAAGCUCGUAGCUGGGGGGGGGGGACAUUGAGGAAAAUAGAGUGUUUAAGGGUGAAGUGGGAGAGCAUGGGACGUCCGAGGAAUGGAGC
rnacentral:rRNA from 1 species